GAUGAACGCUGGCGGCGUGCCUAAUACAUGCAAGUCGAGCGAACAGAUGAGGAGCUUGCUCCUCUGACGUUAGCGGCGGACGGGUGAGUAACACGUGGAUAACCUACCUAUAAGACUGGGAUAACUUCGGGAAACCGGAGCUAAUACCGGAUAAUAUAUUGAACCGCAUGGUUCAAUAGUGAAAGACGGUUUUGCUGUCACUUAUAGAUGGAUCCGCGCCGCAUUAGCUAGUUGGUAAGGUAACGGCUUACCAAGGCGACGAUGCGUAGCCGACCUGAGAGGGGGAAUCGGCCCCCUGGAAACGGAAAACCGUCCCGACUCCCAACGGAAGCAGGAGUUGGGGAUUCUGCGCCAAUGGGCGAAGCCUGACCGAACCACGGCGGCGGAGUUGAGAAAGGCCUUCGAUUCUUAAAACCUUGUUAUUGGGAAGAACAAAUGUGUAAGUAACUAUGCACGUCUUGACGGUACCUAAUCAGAAAGCCACGGCUAACUACGUG
rnacentral:rRNA from 1 species